rnacentral:rRNA from 1 species
AGUGAACGCUGGCGGUAGGCCUAACACAUGCAAGUCGAACGGCAGCACAGGAGAGCUUGCUCUCUGGGUGGCGAGUGGCGGACGGGUGAGGAAUACAUCGGAAUCUACUCUGUCGUGGGGGAUAACGUAGGGAAACUUACGCUAAUACCGCAUACGACCUACGGGUUAAAGCAGGGGACCUUCGGGCCUUGCGCGAUUGAAUGUGCCGAUGUCGGAUUAGCUAGGUGGCGGGGUAAAGGCCCACCAAGGCGACGAUCCGUAGCUGGUCUGAGAGGUUGAUCAGCCACACUGGAACUGAGACACGGUCCAGACUCCUACGGUAGGCAGCAGUGGGGAAUAUUGGACAAUGUGCGCAAGCCUGAUCCAGCCAUACCGCAUGGGUGAAGAUGGCCUUCGGGUUGUAAAGCCCUUUUGUUGGGAAAGAAAUCCAGCUGGUUAAUACCCGGUUGGGAUGACGGUACCCAAAGAAUAAGCACCGGCUAACUUCGUGCCAGCCGCCGCAGUAA